rnacentral:rRNA from 1 species
UACGAAGGUGGCAAGCGUUGUUCGGAUUUAUUGGGCGUAAAGGGCUCGUAGGCGGUCUGUCGCGUCGGAUGUGAAAGCCCGGGGCUUAACCCCGGGUCUGCAUUCGAUACGGGCAGACUAGAGUGUGGUAGGGGAGAUCGGAAUUCCUGGUGUAGCGGUGAAAUGCGCAGAUAUCGGGAGGAACACCAGUGGCGAAGGCGACUUCCUGGCCUGUUCUUGACGCUGAGGCGCGAAAGCUAGGGGAGCAAACGGGG